rnacentral:rRNA from 1 species
AAUGAACGCUGGCGGCGUGCCUAAUACAUGCAAGUCGAGCGAACGGACGAGAAGCUUGCUUUUCUGAUGUUAGCGGCGGACGGGUGAGUAACACGUGGAUAACCUACCUAUAAGACUGGGAUAACUUCGGGAAACCGGAGCUAAUACCGGAUAAUAUUUUGAACCGCAUGGUUCAAAAGUGAAAGACGGUCUUGCUGUCACUUAUAGAUGGAUCCGCGCUGCAUUAGCUAGUUGGUAAGGUACGGCUUACCAAGGCAACGAUGCAUAGCCGACCUGAGAGGGUGAUCGGCCACACUGGAACUGAGACACGGUCCAGACUCCUACGGGAGGCAGCAGUAGGGAAUCUUCCGCAAUGGGCGAAAGCCUGACGGAGCAACGCCGCGUGAGUGAUGAAGGUCUUCGGAUCGUAAAACUCUGUUAUUAGGGAAGAACAUAUGUGUAAGUAACUGUGCACAUCUUGACGGUACCUAAUCAGAAAGCCACGGCUAACUACGUG